rnacentral:rRNA from 1 species
GGCUCCAUGUCCAACUGCAAAUAUGGAGUCGGACCUGCCCGGUGAAAAUUUUUAACGGCCGCGGUACUCUGACCGUGCAAAGGUAGCAUAAUAAUUUGCCUUAUAAUUGAAGGCUGGCAUGAAUGGUUUGACAAGAAUAAAACUGUCUCUUUAUAGUUAAUUAGAAUUUUAUUUAUAGGUGAAAAAGCCUAUAUGUUAUUGAUAGACAAGAAGACCCUAUCGAGCUUUAAAAAAAUUGUAAUAUAAAAUUACUUUAAUUUUGGUUGGGGCGACCAAGGAACAAAAAAAACUUCCUUAUAUAGCUUAGAACUAGCAAGUGAAGAUCCAAACUAUUUGAUUUAUGGAAUUAGUUACCGUAGGGAUAACAGCAUAAUCCUCUUUGAGAGCCCAUAUCGAAAAGGGGGUUUGUGACCUCGAUGUUGGACCAGGGCAUCCUGAAGAUGCAGCAGUCUUCAAGGGUUGGUCUGUUCGACCAUUAAAGCCCUACGCGAUCUGAGUUCAGACCGGCGUGAGCCAGGUCAGUUUCUAUCUUCAAUUUUUUUAGUGAGCUUAGUACGAAAGGACCAGCUCACUCUAAGCUUUGGUUAAUUUGAUAAAGUAUAAUAAUGGGGUUUAAUUUAAUCAAAUUAGCAGAAAUAAUGCAAUUGACUUAGGAUCAAUAGGUAUGGUGUAAAUCCUUAUUUGAUAAUAAAGGUGGCAGAAUA